rnacentral:sRNA from 1 species
AAUUGAGGAGCCGUUCGGCAGCUUGCCUAUGGGCCCUGAAAUGAAGCAGAGAUCAAGGAGCUGCAGGUGAGGUGACUCAGAAGACUGAAGGAUGCAAUGUUUCAGAACAAGCUGGAGAUAAAGUCCACCGAAGUCAUCCUUCCAGCAAGGUCUGCUGAGUCUCUCAGCCUGGUUCCAGUGGGGGUCCGAGAGGAGCUACAGUCACUUUCCACCCUUUGUCACUGCUCUUAAACUGGGCGCUGUUCCUGGGGACAACAUGAUGCCCGUGCCCUAGGGAUAUAACGUGGCCAACUGCUCCCAGCUUCUGACAACUCCCCCACCACAAUGGACCAUCACCGGGAACUGAGUUAAAAAUAAAGCUUUUGUCUCUUAAGUUGCUCUGUGUGUAUCACAUCGACAUGAAAAGGAAACAAGCAGUUGCUCUUAACCACUGCUCCAUCUUGCAGAAUUCUUAAGAAUAUUAGACGAGACAAUAUAUUUAUGCCUGGUGCGGGAUGCACAUCAGUGAGCGUUCAGUAAUUGGGCAAACAC